rnacentral:rRNA from 1 species
UACGAAGGGGGCUAGCGUUGCUCGGAAUCACUGGGCGUAAAGCGCACGUAGGCGGAUUGUUAAGUCAGGGGUGAAAUCCUGGAGCUCAACUCCAGAACUGCCUUUGAUACUGGCGAUCUCGAGUCCGGGAGAGGUGAGUGGAACUGCGAGUGUAGAGGUGAAAUUCGUAGAUAUUCGCAAGAACACCAGUGGCGAAGGCGGCUCACUGGCCCGGUACUGACGCUGAAAUACGAA